rnacentral:rRNA from 1 species
UACGGGGGGGGCAAGCGUUGUUCGGAAUUACUGGGCGUAAAGGGCUCGUAGGCGGCCAACUAAGUCAGACGUGAAAUCCCUCGGCUUAACCGGGGAACUGCGUCUGAUACUGGAUGGCUUGAGUUUGGGAGAGGGAUGCGGAAUUCCCGGUGUAGUGGUGAAAUGCGUAGAGAUCGGGAGGAACACCUGUGGCGAAGGCGGGUUGCUGGGCCGACACUGACGCUGAUGCGCGAAAGCCAGGGGAGCGAACGGG